UCAUAGAACCCAUGAAACUCAGGAUGGAUAGCGCCAUAUGUCAUCUACCACCACACUUGUGGAGAUAACAGUCAAGAUGACACAUGACGCUAUCCCUCCUGAGCUUUAUGGAUUCCCCAU
rnacentral:pre_miRNA from 1 species